CUGUUUGCUUACAAUCCGACCCUGCUUCGUGUACAAAUGCAAUGCCAUUUCGGCAGGGCUAUAGGCUACGAAACCUUUCGAACUCGAAAAGGCGCUACUAAUUUUGAAUAGGUACUUAAUAUUGGGUAAAAGUAAUAGAUAAGAUUGUUUUACAUUAAAUAUUUGACAGAUCGAUGUAACUCGUCAAGCGGAAUCCGAGAAGAAAAAUGACGGAUGUGCUGUUUGCUGAUAGUCCAGAACGGCUUCGUGUACAAAUGCAUGGCGGGGAGACCAGAAAGUUUUCGAAACUGCGUGAGUGGAAGUCUGCGUUGGACAAAUUUUGAAAAUAUCUGAAGGUUUAACGAAUUUUGGAGAAUUCGACAGAGCUACAGACUACGAAACCUUUCGAAACGAACACACGUGUCCUGUUGAACUUGAAAAAAGACGAAAUUAUUUUUAAAAAGAUCAUGGUAACUCGUGAAGCAACAUCUCAGAAUUGAAUCGGGGAACGAGGAAUCAAAAAAAGGUUAACAAUUUGGAUCAUUUUGGAAGAUACAUACGCCGCGCUUUUCAAAGCGGACAGACGUGCCCUUGUCCAACUGAAACGAACACACGUGUCCUGUUGAACUUGAAAAAAGACGAAAUUAUUUUAAAAAGAUCAUGGUAACUCGUGAAGCAACAUCUCAGAAUUGAAUCGGGGAGUUGUGUAUUUGCUGGCAAUCCGGGCCUGCUUGGAUCAUUUUGGAAGAUACAUACGCCGCGCUUUUCAAAGCGGACAGACGUGCCCUUGUCCAACUGAAACGAACACACGUGUCCUGUUGAACUUGAAAAAAGACGAAAUUAUUUUAAAAAGAUCAUGGUAACUCGUGAAGCAACAUCUCAGAAUUGAAUCGGGGAGUUGUGUAUUUGCUGGCAAUCCGGGCCUGCUUGGAUCAUUUUGGAAGAUACAUACGCCUGCGCUUUUCAAA